GCUAUCUAAAAGUACUGUGCCAUGACACCUAAAAUGAAGGGAAUGGGAAAGCAAAGUAAUGGCUCAAAGGCUGCUACCGAGAGCUUUUGUCUACCUUUAACUCAUUGUGCUUCCUUUUUAACAUAAGCAAAGUUGGACAUUCCAAAGAUGGCGUAGAUGAACAUGACCAGGAAGAGCAGGAGGCCGAUGUUAAACAAGGCGGGAAGGGACAUCAUCAGAGCAAAGAGCAGCGUGCGGAUCCCCUUCGCCCCUUUGAUCAGACGCAAGAUUCGACCAAUCCUGGCGAGACGGAUCACUCGGAACAGGGUAUCCAGGAGAGCCUUCAGGCCAGUGUUAAGAGAACUACUUAUGAGCAGAAGCUGAAUGCCAUACCAUGUCAAGAACUUACCAGAAGAAGCUAGGAAAACACUGGGAAGAGAACUCUGAAUUAGAGCUCCUGAGAUACCUAAUCCAGAGUCUGAUGCCAAGCCGACAGACUAAACCAAGUCAACAUGGUGGCUUUGAAAAUUGAAGUCAGUGAGUCAUGGAAGAACAUCUUAUCCCAAUUUUCUCCUUUGAAUUUUCAAUGUGUGAACAUGCGACUACGUACCACUAGGUUUCCAAUGACCAUGACCAUCAUGUAGACUAUAAGGCACAUGGCUUGACCAGCGACCUCCAUACAGUCCCACAUGGUUUCUAUCCACUCUCCACAUAGCACGCGGAAGACAAUCAGGAAGGAGUGGAAGAAAUCAUUCAUGUGCCAUCGUGGGAGUGUACAGUCUUCAUUGAUCUUGCAGACACAUUCUUUGUAGCUUUUACCAAAGAGCUGCAUGCCAACCACAGCAAAAAUGAAGACGAUGAUGGCCAACACCAAGGUAACAGAAUUACAUGGAGACUGUAAUGGAUGUUUCUUAUUACCAAGGAAGAUCUCAUGAAUUGCUCUGAGUGGAUGAGGAUAAAUGACUCAGCGUGAAAAGGAUGACGGAGACUGGUGGGCACUGUAGCAAAAUGGAGAAUGUAAGCUCCAUCUGAAAGAGGUGACCACUGUUCAGCUCUAAAGGAUUGUUGCCAUGCAGGAAUAUGAGCUCAGUCUUACCAGGUGUACUCAUUUUUGUGUGAAAAUGUCUUGUUUUUAAAUCUUGGCAACUAAUUCAAAGUUAAAACACUAUGCUGGUUCAGUGCAUGCCAACAACACACACACACACAUACAGGCUCACACACACAUAUACACACAAACAACUAUACAAUUCUACAUGUAUCACCUAUCUGUUUAGGUGUGGUAUGUGUGGUAUUUACGUAUGUAUAGAUACACACACACCACUUUACAAACAUGUAAAUAUAGCUCUAGAGUUUCAAAGUUGUAUAGUUGUUUAGAUAUACUUAUAUGUGUGUGUAUAUCAAAACAUGGACACAUGGGCAUAAAUGUAUGCACGUGUGUCUGUCUGUAUGUGUAUGUGCACAGACAUCCACACACACAUAUCCGUAGCUGGCUUUUUAUGGAGAUCUUUCUAUUUGAUACAGUCUCUAAUCUACUGACUUUCAAGAAAUGGCAAUUUUUCUACAAGUCAAACAAGAAUAACACAUUCUUUUUCAUGUAGACACGUUUUAGUUGUCAAGGUUAUAUUAUCUGUCAUGCAAUUUUUUUCAUCUAAACUGUACAUUUUGCCACACUAUCAUGUUUAUUGCAUUUCUGUUGAAUCUUAGAGUAUACUCU